AGUUGGAGAGACAGCUCACGGAAUGGUCGAACCUCGUCACGGGACGGCGCCAUGGAAAUGAACGACAUAUAUGUGAACAAUGAGGCUGUGGAGAGAUCGCCAGGCAGGAGGAUGAAAAGAACCAGUCCCAAGCCAGCAGGGCAUGGAGCAGCGGAGUUUUCUGAUGAUGAAAUGCCUGAUUACGAAAAUAUAUCCGUGACGACUGACAAGAAGAAUCCCCAGCCUCCAGCAGAAAUGCCUCCCUCAUACCCAGGGCUUGUCUGUACUGGUGGGAGAGGCUGUGCAAGGGUCUUGCUGGGGAGACGUCUACCUGGAAAGUUGUGAGGGGCUGAUCCCUGGGCUCAGAGACAGCUGCUGUCAGUAACACCAGCCCGGCUAGUUGCAGGCAUUGCCAACACUGGGGCAAACACAGCGUUCUUCCGAAAUCAUCUGGGAGAGAUGCUGGAAUAAAGACCGUU
rnacentral:lncRNA from 1 species